rnacentral:rRNA from 1 species
CAGUAGCCGCGGUAAUACGAACCGUCCGAACGUUAUUCGGAAUUACUGGGCUUAAAGCGCGUGUAGGCGGAUCGGCACGUCCGACACUGAAAUCCCCCGGCUUAACCGGGGAACGGGUCCGGAUACGACCGGUCUGGAGGGAGGUAGGGGGGUCUGGAACUUCGGGUGGAGCGGUGAAAUGCGUUGAGAUCCGAAGGAACGCCCGUGGCGAAAGCGAGACCCUGGACCUUUUCUGACGCUGAGACGCGAAAGCCAGGGGAGCGAACGGGAUUAGAGACCCCAGUAGUCCCUGUCUCUUAUA